AUUGCGAAUUUCACUUAGUGAAUUGAGUUGAUGAAAUAACUGAAGUGUUCAACAAUAUUUUAAUUUAAUGAAUAUAACAUGAGAUGGAAUGAGGGCAGUCAAUCUAUGCCAGGAGGACAUAGAAGAGUGGAGAUAAGUCUCUCAGAAAAGGAACAUAUUUGAGCAUAUUUGUUCAUUUGUGUCACAAAUAUUCUACUGCCAAGCCACAUUUUGUUCAUGUGAGUGAACAAAACUCCUAGAAAUGUCCAUGUUUUCUUUUUCUUUCCUUUUCUUGUUUUUUUUUUCUUUUAGAGAAAUGUAUGAAAGGGUUUUUGACAUAGGUAAAGUCUACCAUCACAUUGUUGUAGCUGUAGAUAUUCUAUCAUACAAACACAGGUUUUAGAUCCAAAAUGCAUGCAAAUAACUGCAAUUGCUGCCGACCCCACCCCACCCUUGCUAACACUCUGGAGAUGUAUCUUCUACUCCAAAGUAUCAGAGCUCUCUGAGUGCUGCACAUGGAGACAGAAACUUUCUAAAUCGUUAAGCUGCACAUCAAUGAGAUGUUUUUACCUGCCUGUUUGUCCCCCACUUUGGGAUCCUUUUAUUCAGAAGGCCGCCUGAUAGUCCAUCAUUAUUUAGAUGAAGUCACAUAAACACAUCUCAAAGCUACUUCAGAUCUGGACAGAUCCGAGACCACACCACAUGGGAGCGUUUUAAAUACAUAACUAAAUCAGUCUCUCUCUCUCUUUUUUUUUAAGCUGUAUGAAAAAAUACUAAAUUAGCUUUUCUCUUGUUUUAGAAAAUUAAUUCUGCUUGUUUCAGCUGCUGAACAUGAAAGUCUUCAUCAUAAAAGGAAUUCGGAGAAGUGGCUCCUUUUAUGCAGCAGAAUGUCAGCCUUCCUUGCCCGACCGCUUCCGAGCACGCUUGAUGUCACAUUGUCCACCUGAUCAUUUCGCUACCUGCUCUCCUCCUCGAGGCUGCCCUCUCGCUGCUCCACCACUCGAGAUGCUUGGCUGACUCCUCUGAAACCAUCACGUCGUUGUGUGCUAGAACCCAGCAGGCUGUUCUUCUUCUCUCCUUUCGACUGCGAGCGCAGUCAAGGAUUCCUGUGCUCAUGUGAUGAUUUCAUAUGAGCGUGCCAGCGUUUACUCUUGUUUGUUGUCAGUGCUGCUUGCAUUUUAAAAAGAGCAAUGCGGCUGCAAAUGGGAAUGAGUUUAACAUGUACGGCUUUUUUAAAAAUAGGCUACCGCCUUGAGCAGCUGCAACCAUUACUACUUAUCAUGUUUAUGAGGGCCUCUGUAGAUAGGCGCCUGCCCCCCUUGACCUCUCAAGGAUAAAUGGUUAGACAAUGGAUAGAUGGAUGAAUGUUUGUGAAUAAAUUGAAAAGUUUUUUUUUUUCCAUAGAUUUAAUUCUGUGGUAUUACAAAUAUCAAAUUUAAGUGUUUGGCUUAAUGUUUUUAGAUUGUACAACUUCUGCUGUUAUUUAGUCCAUGCCAUUAUGGAGAUUCUGUCUCAUUUUUUUAGCAUUUAUGUUUCGCCUUCUGGUGGGAAAAUAAUACGUAAUUGGUUGACUGACUUUUUUUCCACAUACAGUGUCUUGAAAAGAAAAUUCUCAUAAUCCUCAAACAUUUAGUCACAUUUAAGUUCCAGAGGAUUUUUUAAAUAUAAUUUUAUGUUCUGCACCACUACAAAGUAGUGCAUAAUUCUGCGCUGGAAUGAAAAUUAUUCAUGGUUUUAAAAGGUUAUUACAAAUUAAAAAAAAAUUUUAAACUGGCUGCAUACACUUGUAUUCAAUCCUUUUGAUUUGAUGAGCCUAAAUAAGAUCCAGUGCAAUCAACUGCCUUCAGAAGUCACAAAAGUAAAUAAAAGGCCUCAGUGAAGGCCUCUUAAGUUAGUGGCACCACACAGGUGAACAAACAGCAUCUAUGUGGUGAACAAGCAAACCCACGGGAUCAGUUAAGAGGAGGAGCUGUGCAGAUAUUUAAAGCAGAGUGAGUUUAUGAAAUAAUAUUUCACAACUUGUCAGCAGCUGUGUUUCUAUGAAUCAUAGAAUUUCGCAAACUAAAAUUGUGAAAAUAAAUUCACUAAAUGGAAACACACCAAUUUUGAAAAAAAAAAACAAACAAAAAAAACAGCAACACAUUUUUCAAUAAAAAGUUGGGAUGAGGUGUUUUUUCAACUGUAUUGAAGUAGAUGUUGCAGAACUGCAAUGGAAACACUAUUUUGCACGACAUGAUUUAGCUGAUCAACAGGUCGGUGCUGGCAAAAACCAUGAAGAAGACAAGAAGAAGUAGUCGUCUUCUUCAUGGUUUGUAGUUUGCUUCUGUGUUUUUUUUUGUUUUUUUGCUUUUCUCUGAGAAUGUGCAACUGGCUUCACCAGAGUUCUCACAGCACUGCACACUUCACAAAAAGUUGUGUUUUGUUUGAACAUGUUGAGUCCAUACAUCUUCUGUAAAAUCGCGCACUACAAUUUCUUAAAAACACUGCACAGACAGCUGCUCCCAGGUAUUACGGGGUUGUCACUCCAACGCCUGAAUAAGUUGCCUCUGAUGGCUGACAGGUUAAGAGCACUAGCAUCAUGGCUCAAUAAUAAAUAUCUCAUGUAACGGUCUACAUCCGUUGCUACCAUGAUUUUUAAUGACUUACUGCGUGAACGAGCUUAUUCACACAUGAUUUGAAUUCCAUUUCUAAUUUAAGGGAAACACAGAAAUUGCAAAAUUGGGAGUUUUCGACAUUAGCAGAAUAUAGACAAAGAUUUGUGCACAUGUGUAAUGGAAACGCAGCUACAGAACACUAUUCAUCCAGCAUCCAAACAUAACAAGAGCCUAGAAAAUCAGAGUAGCUCUAGAGAGGAUGGUUAGCUGGGGGAAUCUGUUGACUGGACAACUACUUGUCUCACACUACACGUUUGGCCUCAAGAAGGUGAUAAGUAGGCGGAAGUCUAUUUGUUGAAGGAAGUCCCAUUAAUUUGCCGUGUAAAAACAUUUCCCUGGAAAAGUCAGUCCUAAAACAUGCAGGACAGCUGCAGUUAAGGACCAACUUAAGACACCCUCCACUAAUGUAAGGGUGAAACCUGGAAGUGGCAGCAUCAUGCUGUGGGGACGCUUUUGCUCAGCAUAAACUCUGACAGGAAUUCCUGUCAUGAGGUAAAUCAUGGUAAAUCAUGGAAGAAAACGUGUUGCAAAGUGCAGUUACUACACUCUACUCCAUUACUACCAACUUUAUUCUUUAGAUCUAGGCCAUGUACUGGGAGACAGACUGCCAGACUGAUCUGGAUGCUUGGACCCACUGGUUGAGCCUUUAAAAGUUAUACAUCAUCUCUGUACACAAGAAAAUGUCCAGAAGUUUUCAUUACUUUUUCAAGGAGUAGUUUUGUGAGGCGCCUGUCUAAAGUACAUUUGUUUUGUUCUUGAACAAAUGAAUGAGAAACAUAUUUCCAAUGAAAUUCAAAUGUCUUGCAUUAGUGUUUGGUAUUUAAUCCAUCAGUGAGUCUGUCUUUAUUUGCACUCUGCAGAAACAAUUAAGAUAGCAGCAAGUGAUUUGCAGCAGGGAAAAAUGUUUGAAGACACAAUAAAUAGAAAAAGAAACAACAGUGACUGGUAAAAAGUGAAGACUUGCUAAACUGAGGAAAUGUGCAUUGUUAAAGACAUUAACAAUAUUGUAAACUUGUUUACAAUAUUGGGUUAACAUUAUAAUGUGGACAUGGUCUGUUAAAAAAACUGCAAAGAAAAAUGUCUUUAAAACUAAUAAGUAUGAUAAAUUAAAAAUCUACUUAGAAGUUAAAGAGCCAAUGAAAUUACAGAAUUUUUUUUUUGCAUAAAAUAAGUUUAAGAUGAAAGUAAACAAUAUCAAUUAAUACAAUUUUACUAAAUGCUUAUCUGACUCGUUGAGUUACGUUUGUACGAUUCUUCAUCAAAUAACUCCUAAAAAAAAAUGAUUGGUGCAUGGUUAAUACCUCCCGGAUGGAAAGUGUGACGCAUUUUUCACGCAAGAAAAGUGUGGCAUUCUCUCUUUGACCAUUUCGUACAAGCAAAGCAGAGAAUGCAAGGGAGGGAGGCAUGAUGUGACGGAGGGGUGUGUCCCAGGUGGACUCUGCUGUUGUAUGAAAGUUGUGAGCGAAUAAAAAUGGUUUGCAAUCAUG